AACUUUAAUUUACACCUCAAUCGCCAGGGAACUACGAGCAAAGCUUAAAACCCAAAGGACUUGACGGUACCCCAAAUCCAUCUAGAGGAGCCUGUCCUAUAAUCGAUAACCCCCGUUUAACCUCACCACUUUUUGCCUAUCAGCCUGUAUACCUCCGUCGUCAGCUUACCACGUGAGCGCUAUUGAGUGAGCUUAAUGCCCCUACGCCAACACGUCAGGUCAAGGUGCAGCUAAUGAAGUGGGAAGAGAUGGGCUACACUUUCUAUAUUAGAAGAAACGAAAGACUACAUAUGAAAUCUAGUCAGAAGGAGGAUUUAGUAGUAAAAAGAAAACAGAGAGUUCUUUUUAACCCGGCACUGGGGUGUGUACACACCGCCCGUCACC
rnacentral:rRNA from 1 species